rnacentral:misc_RNA from 1 species
CAGCACCUGAAAACAUUUAUGUAUCCAUUCUAGGGAGAGGGUAUCCAAUCCAGCAGGAUUCGAAUUCAAUAACAACUGGUGGGUUAUACAACUAGAAACAUCAGAUCGAAAAGCCUGCAAAGAAGCUGAUAAGGCUUCAGGUAGCCGGUGGUCAUGAAGAUUCUCCAGCUUGAAGCAUAAUUUGCUAAGCCUUUCCACCAAGGGUACCAUUGAGAACUCAAUAUAAAAAGGGAAGUUUGAAGGAGGAAGUUAUCAGUGCAAGGUUGGUUUUG